CCAGUCACGAAAGCAAAAUCAGCUGUUUGUAAACAAAAUACUAGAAUUAGAUGUGAAAUUAUCAUAGUGAAAUAUGAAUUGUCAACACCUACUUCGCCGAGCAGUUCUUUCCAGAUCAUAUUCCGUUAAGUUAAAAAACAGCUUAAGGUUGAAGUCACAUGUUGCAACAAAUGUGAAGGUAACAGGAACUUUUGUAGAUGAAGUGAAGAAAAUUCUGGGAAGGUCCAAUGUAUCGACAGCAGAUGCUGUACGGGAACAGCAUGGGCAUGAUGAGUCAUAUCAUGGAGUGGAGUCUCCAGAUGUUGUUGCAUUUGCAGAGUCUGUAGAGCAUGUUAGCCGAGUUGCACAGCUCUGUAAUGAUAAUGGCGUUCCCCUGAUACCAUUUGGCAGUGGUACAGGACUCGAGGGUGGAGUUAAUGCACUACAGGGUGGACUCUGUCUUGAUGUUACCAAAAUGAAUAACAUCCUUUCUGUAAAUGCGGAAGACUUUGACUGCUGUGUGGAAUCUGGAGUAACCAGAGUGACGUUGAAUAAUUAUCUACGUGACACAGGACUCUGGUUUCCUAUAGAUCCAGGAGCCGAUGCAAGUUUGUGUGGUAUGUGUGCAACUAGUGCCUCUGGUACAAACGCCGUACGUUACGGUACGAUGAGGGAAAACACGCUCAAUAUGGAAGUGGUACUAGCUGAUGGAAGGGUGAUUAACACUGCUGGGCCCGGUAGACGUACUAAAAAAACAUCUGCUGGUUAUAAUUUGACAAAUCUGUUUGUUGGGUCAGAGGGAACUCUGGGUAUUAUCACCAAGACAACACUGAGGCUUCAUGGGAUACCAGAAGCUACAGUAUCAGCCACAUGCCACUUUCCUGAUGUGCAGUCAGCUGUUGAUACUACAGUACAGGUGUUGCAAUGUGGUAUACCAAUGGCCAGGAUUGAGUUUCUAGAUGAAGUUUCGAUUGAUGCAUGUAACAAAUACAGUCAUCUGGAACUACCUGUGGCUCCGUCCUUGUUUCUCGAGUUCCAUGGAGCAGAGUCCGCUCUUAAAGGACAAACAGAAGUUGUGGAGGAGUUGGUCAGCAUGAAUAAUGGGUCUGACUUCAAGUGGGCAACAGAUCCAGAUGAGAGGAAUCACUUAUGGAAAGCCAGACACGACAUACUGUAUGCAUGUAUGGCACUGAAGCCAGGAUCCAAGCCAUAUUCUACUGAUGUAUGUGUACCUGUUUCAAACCUUCCAGAAGUGGUUGUCAAAACCAAAGAAAUGAUAAAAGAGGCAGGAAUCAUAGGUCCAAUAGUAGGUCAUGUUGGGGAUGGAAACUUUCAUGUUUUCUAUCCAGUUCAUCCGGACGACCAUGAAACGUUACGUAAGAUUAAGGAGGUUUCAUAUAAAAUGGCAUUAUGGGUUCAUAUUAGGGCAUGUGGGUGAUGGAAAUUUCCACACAUUGUUUACAUUUGACCCAAAUAAACCCAGAGAACUGGAAUUUGUCAAACAAACAGCUGAGAAAAUUGCACUAAUUGCCCUGGAUUUGAAUGGUACCUGCACAGGGGAACAUGGGAUAGGGAUUGGAAAAAGGGAACUACUGAUCAGAGAGAUAGGAGAAGAAGGGCUUCAGGUCAUGAAACAAAUCAAGGCAAGCUUAGACCCAAACGGA
rnacentral:misc_RNA from 1 species